GGGGGUGUUUUUUUUAGUGUAUUACAUAAUGGAGACUUGGGUUACCAAAAACAGAAAAUAUUGACCAUGUUGAGGCAGUGAGCUGUCUUGGUCAGCACCCAGGUGUAUUCAUCAACACGGGCACCUUAUAUCAAAAUGCAGAUAUGCAUUCCAGGAUGGUGACUGAAGCUCAUCUUUGUAAACACCUAAAAAUGCCUAGAAUGGACUUCAAAACAGAUUCUGAAAGUUUAACCAGUAUAAUCCUUAAUAUGGACAAAAAGUAAACACUUGGAACACACACAAAAACAGAUGGGUCCAUGCCAAGCUAAAGAUUAAUGCAG